rnacentral:rRNA from 1 species
AUUGAACGCUGGCGGCAUGCCUUACACAUGCAAGUCGAACGGCAGCACGGGAGCAAUCCUGGUGGCGAGUGGCGAACGGGUGAGUUAUAUAUCGGAACGUGCCCAGUCGUGGGGGAUAACGCAGCGAAAGCUGUGCUAAUACCGCAUACGAUCUACGGAUGAAAGCGGGGGAUCGCAGGACCUCGCGCGAUUGGAGCGGCCGAUAUCAGAUUAGCUAGUUGGUGAGGUAAAGGCUCACCAAGGCGACGAUCUGUAGCUGGUCUGAGAGGACGACCAGCCAAACUGGAACUGAGACACGGUCCAGACUCCUACGGGAGGCAGCAGUGGGGAAUUUUGGACAAUGGGCGCAAGCCUGAUCCAGCAAUGCCGCGUGCAGGAUGAAGGCCUUCGGGUUGUAAACUGCUUUUGUACGGAGCGAAACGGUCUUUCCUAAUACGAGAGGCUAAUGACGGUACCGUAAGAAUAAGCACCGGCUAACUACGUGCCAGCCGCCGCCGUAAUAC